rnacentral:rRNA from 1 species
CAGCAGCCGCGGUAAUACGAAGGGACCUAGCGUAGUUCGGAAUUACUGGGCUUAAAGAGUUCGUAGGUGGUUAAAAAAGUUGGUGGUGAAAUCCCAGAGCUUAACUCUGGAACUGCCAUCAAAACUUUUUAGCUAGAGUAUGAUAGAGGAAAGUAGAAUUUCUAGUGUAGAGGUGAAAUUCGUAGAUAUUAGAAAGAAUACCAAUUGCGAAGGCAGCUUUCUGGAUCAUUACUGACACUGAGGAACGAAAGCAUGGGUAGCGAAGAGGAUUAGAUACCCUCGUAGUCCAUGCCGUAAACGAUGUGUGUUAGACGUUGGAAAUUUAUUUUCAGUGUCGCAGCGAAAGCAAUAAACACACCGCCUGGGGAGUACGACCGCAAGGUUAAAACUCAAAUGAAUUGACGGGGACCCGCACAAGUAGUGGAGCAUGUGGUUUAAUUCGAAGAUACGCGCAGAACCUUACCAACACUUGACAUGUUCGUCGCGACUCUAAGAGAUUAGAGUUUUCGGUUCGGCCGGACGAAACACAGGUGCUGCAUGGCUGUCGUCAGCUCGUGUCGUGAGAUGUUGGGUUAAGUCCCGCAACGAGCGCAACCCUUACUUUUAGUUGCCAUCAUUUAGUUGGGCACUCUGAAAGAACUGCCAGUGAUAAGCUGGAGGAAGGUGGGGAUGACGUCAAGUCCUCAUGGCCCUUACGUGUUGGGCUACACACGUGCUACAAUGGCAUUUACAAUAGGAAGCAAGGCGGCGACGUCAAGCAAAUCCUAAAAGAAUGCCUCAGUUCGGAUUGCACUCUGCAACUCGAGUGCAUGAAGCUGGAAUUACUAGUAAUCGUGGAUCAGCGUGCCACGGUGAAUGCGUUCCCGGGUCUUGCACACACCGCCCG